GCUCAGAACGAACGCUGGCGGCGCGUUUUAAGCAUGCAAGUCGAACGGGAUCAUUCCUUCGGGGAUGUGAGAGUGGCGAACGGGUGAGUAACACGUAGGUGAUCUACCGCUUGGCGGGGGAUAGCCCAUGGAAACAUGGGGUAAUACCGCAUACGACCGAUCUGCUGUGGCGGGUUGGGGAAAGGCGCUUAGGCGUCACCGAGCGAUGAGCCUGCGGCUGAUUAGCUGGUUGGUAGGGUAACGGCCUACCAAGGCAACGAUCAGUAGCCGGCCUGAGAGGGUGAUCGGCCACACUGGGACUGAGAUACGGCCCAGACAACUACGGUUGGCAGCAGCUAAGAAUCUUCCGCAAUGGACGAAAGUCUGACGGAGCGACGCCGCGUGGGCGAUGAAGGCCGUGAGGUUGUAAAGCCCUUUUCUAUCGGAGGAAUAAGCCUGGGAGGGAAUGCCCGGGUGAUGACGGUACGGUAGGAAUAAGCCCCGGCCAAUUACGUGCCAGCAGCCGCGGUAACACGUAAGGGGCGAGCGUUGUUCGGAAUUAUUGGGCGUAAAGGGCACGUAGGCGGCACGGUAAGCCUGGUGUGAAAGACCGCAGCUUAACUGCGGAGACGCGCUGGGAACUGCCGAGCUUGAGUGCUGGAGGGGGAGCUGGAAUUCCAGGUGUAGGGGUGAAAUCUGUAGAUAUCUGGAAGAACACCGGUGGUGAAGACGAGCUCCUGGCCAGAUACUGACGCUGAGGUGCGAAAGCGUGGGGAGCGAACAGGAUUAGAUACCCUGGUAGUCCACGCCGUAAACGAUGUGCACUAGCUGUUGGGUUCAUUAGCGACUCAGGUGCCGUAGCUAACGCGUUAAGUGCACCGCCUGGGGAGUAUGCUCGGCAAGAGUGAAACUCAAACGAAUUGACGGGGGCCCGCACAAGCGGUGGAGCAUGUGGUUUAAUUCGAUGAUACGCGAGGACCUUACCAGGGCUUGACAUCAUCCUGACAGCGGCAGAGAUGCCGGUUUCCUUCGGGACAGGAUGACAGGUGCUGCAUGGCUGUCGUCAGCUCGUGCCGUGAGGUGUUGGGUUAAGUCCCGUAACGAGCGCAACCCUUAUUUUUAGUUGCUAACAAGCAAUGUUGAGGACUUCUAGAGAGACUGC
rnacentral:rRNA from 1 species